UCGCUGUUGGAUGAAUGAAUCGUGUUACAUUUAAUUCUCGAUUCAUCAACCAACAGCGGC
rnacentral:pre_miRNA from 1 species